rnacentral:rRNA from 1 species
GAAACUACAAAGGAAAGUUAGGACGGGGACCCGGCCGACAAGCGGUGGAGCAUGUGGUUUAAUUCGAAGAUACGCGAAGAACCUUACCUGGCCUUGACAUUGAUAGAAUCUGGUAGAGAUACUGGAGUGCUAGCUUGCUAGAACUUGAAAACAGGUGCUGCACGGCUGUCGUCAGCUCGUGUCGUGAGAUGUUGGGUUAAGUCCCGCAACGAGCGCAACCCUCGUCGUUAGUUGCUAACAGUUAGGCUGAGAACUCUAACGAGACUGCCUUCGUAAGGAGGGGGAAGGUGAGGACGACGUCAAGUCAUCAUGGCCCUUACGGCCAGGGCUACACACGCGCUACAAUGGGGUGUACAGAAAGCUGCAAUAUCGCGAGAUGGAGCAAAUCUCAAAAACACCUCCCAGUUCGGAUUGUUCUCUGCAACUCGAGAACAUGAAGUUGGAAUCGCUAGUAAUCGUAGAUCAGCAUUGCUACGGUGAAUACGUUCCCGGGUCUU